AUCCAAGCCAUUGAGUAAUCACGAAACUUCUAAGUACCGAAGUGUGGUAUCAUUUUCACUUGCUUUAUCUGUCUCAUACGUAGAUGUGGCAUCUUAUCUGGAAGUACUUUUCCUCCAUCCAGGGGUGGUAUCGUUAACCGAUGAAGAUGCACAAGGUAAUGUAUUAAUUUCACUUGAAGCUUACUUGUAGUUUCAGGCUUGGUCAAGUGCG
rnacentral:lncRNA from 1 species